AGCAAGCAAGAAAGUGUGCCAGAGGAAUUCACUCCUUUGCCCUGGGUAAAUCCUGAGUGAGCCAGUUGGGAGAGAGCAAAAAAGUGAGAAGGAGACAGAAAAAAGGAGAGGGGUCUCAGGAAAGAGAAAGAAGGAGGGGAAAUAGGAGGGAUGGCGAGAAAGAUAGCAGAGGUUGAGCUCAUCGAGGAGGGGACAGUAGGAUGGACCAUCAGGGAAUUCUGAAGCCGUAUCUUCUGGAAGGAAAGGAAUUCACUAUAUGGCAGAUGAAACAUCAGUACUUCGAGUCUCAAGACUGCUUGCUUUCAGAGACAGAAGAUAUGAAAGACCAGUUGCUAGAACAAGGAACCCUGGUUCUUUCUUGGAAGCUCCGACACAUGACUCAACACCCUA